rnacentral:rRNA from 1 species
UACGAAGGGUGCAAGCGUUACUCGGAAUUACUGGGCGUAAAGCGUGCGUAGGUGGUUCGUUAAGUCUGUCGUGAAGCCCGGGCUCAACCUGGGAAUGGCGAUGGAUACUGGCGGGCUAGAGUGCGGUAGAGGAGAGUGGAAUUCCCGGUGUAGCAGUGAAAUGCGUAGAGAUCGGGAGGAACAUCAGUUGCGAAGGCGGCUCUCUGGACCAGCACUGACACUGAGGCACGAAAGCGUGGGAGCAAACAGG